rnacentral:lncRNA from 1 species
AAGAAGUCAGGCCACUACAAGUGCCAUAACUUGAGCAAAUUAUGCAGCCUGUAGCUCCACCUGGGAAGGUGUAAAAAAUCUGGGAGGCCACAAACCAUGGAAGCUGUACGCAUGGCGUAGUGGACUAGCGGUUAGAGGAGACCCCUCCCUUGCAAAUCGCAGCAACAAUGGGGGCCCAAGGUGAGAUGAAGCUGUAGUCUCACUGGAAG